UUCCUUUCUUUUUAAGAAAAAUCACUUUUAAUACUAAUAAAAAUAUUUUUAAAAAUCCGGGUCAUUACAAUCUACCCUCCUUAUCGGGAUUCCGUCCUCGGAAUCAGAAAAAGAAGGAGGACGCAUAAUCUGAAAAAUCCAUAUUAAUCCACAUAACAAGUAUAAUCACAUACACACUAUUCACAUAAUUACAUCAAUAUUCUACUAGAGACAACAAUAAUAUCUAGACGAAUAGAUGUAUAAUAAUCAAAUCUGAAUUUAAUAGUAUGGGAUAUUACAUUCUACCCCCCUUAUAAGGAUUCCGCCCUCGGAAUCCGCAAAGAGAACUCAAACGUAUCACUUUGAAGAUUCCACUAUACACUUCGUAAUAACGUAUCAUCAUUCACCUUUGAUCGGCCUUGGCAUACCUUUAGCUUUAAAGAAAUUGGAGAAUCAACUUUCACAAUUGCAGAAUUCAUUUCCCAAGAAUCAAUCUUUGGAAAUUUCAGAGUAACAAGAUGUUUUCAAAAUAGGUGACAUUGGAAUACAAGAGUGACUGGGAGAUCAAUACGAUCAAAUGAACUUAAUGUUGCGUGUCCAUAUUAGACACUACUAAAGGUUGUUAACCUUCUUGUAAUCACAACACACACAAGUGAUGGCGUCCCAUCCAACUCCUAUCACACAGACAGGUAUACCUUGUGUCCCCUAUAAAUAGGGUUGUUCAUCCCAAUCAAAUUGAAGAAAUGUCAAGGAAUAUCAAAGAAUGUCAAGGAAUAUCAAAGAUAUCAAAGAACAUCAAGGGAUAUCAAGGAAGAUGAAAGGGUAUCAAGGAAUGUCAAGAAAUGUCAAACAAUAUCAAGGAACAUCACUAUCUCUUCACAACAAACCUUUAUCACACAUCUUUGCUUUCCAACUCAUACCAAUAAUCAAUAUCAAUGUCACCUUAGAAUUUGAGAAAUUGAAAAUCUCGUUUAUCGAAAUGAUAUCAUAAUAACUCACUGAUGAAAAACAUAUAAUCAAAAGAAUCUUUAGUUGAAGAGAGGUACUGCCAAGGUCUUCUCAAAUUACUGCUCUACUUCAAAAAUCAUCGUUCGUUGUAUAUCUCCUUUUCAGCCUUCUCGAUAAUUGAUCGACGUUCAAUCGUAAUAGCGUCGUAAGAUGUCAUUGUUCGUAAUAAGUCUGGCCCAAGUAGUUUACAUUAUUUCAUCCCAAUUGCCUUUGAAGUCCAUAGCAUGACAUGUAACAUAUCUUCAAUCGUUUGGAUCGUCAACCUGUGGGUUAUGGGCCCACCUUGAUAUCGUUUGAAAUCCCGAUUAGCUCGAAGCGUUGUCGUCGAGGACUAACGUUCUAACUUACUCGUAGACAUCAUUUCUAAUAACUGGACUCAAUUCCACAUAUUCUCUAUCAUUCCCUUCUCACCUAUCAACCUCUAUAUACCAAUCUCUCCUUCUAAUCCAAUACAACUCAUAUUCUACAUUCACCUUUCAUAUCUUCACUCAAAACCAUAUACAUCUUCCAAAUAUCUGACAUGGUCAACAUACUAUGAACCAUGCAUUUUUAUCAUUCUCAAAUCAAUACAAUAGACCAUUUUCAACUAUGCAGUAUAGUCAGAAUAAUCUGAACACUGCAUUUUCACCAUUUUCAACUCAAUCAUUCAUUAUCAAACUCUUCUAUAUAGGUCUAAUACUGACCUUUCUCACAAUAGUACCAUUCUCGGUUACUCGAUCGCUAGAAAUGAAAUGUCUAAACUUAGGAAUCAAAAUCUCUCUAAACUUAUGCACUCAACUUAGUCGUCUAACUAGAUUCUAUGCUUCACUCACAUCACUAGACUAUUCCCAAAUAGUCUAACCAUACCUCUAUGUGAGGUUACACAACAUUCUUCUCUAGAAAAUCUAUAACUAUGAUCUAUAUUCUAAUUUCAAAUACUUAUAACCUGUUGCUCUGAUACCAACUGUGACGGCCCGAGAAUCCGGGGGCCUGGAUUCUGACGUCACCACACAAAACCCUUUUAAAACACUUUUGAAACCCUGUAUAUUUUUUUUUCUUUUAAAGAUAAUGAAAAUCCAAAAGAAUUUAAAACUUGAAAACAUUUAAUAAAAACUUUGAAUGAGAACAUAAAUCAAAUGAUUUCAAGACCUGAAAGUUUAAACUUGAAACCAUCAUAAAAGAAUUUCCAGAGAAUAUUUAAACUUUAAUAAAUGAUUCAAAAGAGAACAUUUAACCCCCAAAAACAACAGGAUCGCUUCCAGGUUACAGUAUUGAAAUUAGAAUCCACCACUAAUACUAUACAAUAUUUCUUACCAAGUCAGAUCAUCUUCGAUAAGAAGAAUCACUGUCAACUAUUCCAGCUUGCACCAACCUCAUCAACUUUCCUCACCACUCCCUGACCACUGGAUCCUCAACUCUGU
rnacentral:lncRNA from 1 species